UACGUAGGGAGCAAGCGUUGUCCGGAAUCAUUGGGCGUAAAGCGCGCGUAGGCGGCCCCGUAAGUCCGCUGUGAAAGUCAAAGGCUCAACCCUGAAAUGCCGGUGGAAACUGUCGAGCUAGAGUCCGGAAGAGGCGAGUGGAAUUCCUGGUGUAGCGGUGAAAUGCGCAGAUAUCAGGAGGAACACCAAUGGCGAAGGCAGCUCGCUGGGACGGUACUGACGCUGAGACGCGAAAGCGUGGGGAGCAAACAGG
rnacentral:rRNA from 1 species